GGUGGCUCAGUGGUAGAGCACUUGUCUUGCAAGUGCCCUGGGUUCGAUUCCUCAGCACCA
rnacentral:tRNA from 1 species